rnacentral:rRNA from 1 species
GGCACGCCUAAACAUGCAAGUCGAACGAAGUAGCAAUACUUAGUGGCAGACGGGUGAGUAACAUGUGGGUAUCUACCCUUUGGCCUGGAAUAACACGAGGAAACUUGUGCUAAUACCGGAUAAGUCUUUACGGAGAAAGCUUUAUGCACCAAUGGAUGAGCCUGCACUUGAUUAGUUUGUUGGUAGGGUAAUGGCCUACCAAGACUGUGAUCAAUAGCUGAUUUGAGAGGAUGAUCAGCCACAUUGGGACUGAGACACGGCCCAAACUCCUACGGGAGGCAGCAGUGGGGAAUCUUGCACAAUGGAGGAAACUCUGAUGCAGCGAUGCCGCGUGAGUGAAGAAGGCCCUUGGGUUGUAAAGCUCUUUCGUCGGGGAAGAAAAUGACUGUACCCGAAUAAGAAGGUCCG